rnacentral:rRNA from 1 species
AUACGGAGGGUGCAAGCGUUAUUCGGAAUCACUGGGCGUAAAGGACGCGUAGGCGGGUUGGCAAGUCAGAUGUGAAAUCCUACAGCUUAACUGUAGAACUGCAUUUGAAACUGCUAACCUAGAGUAUGGGAGGGGGGGAUGGAAUUAGUGGUGUAGGGGUAAAAUCCGUAGAUAUCACUAGGAAUACCGAAAGCGAAGGCGAUCUCCUGGAACAUAACUGACGCUAAGGCGUGAAAGCGUGGGAAGCAAACAGGAUUAGAUACCCUAGUAGUCC